UUAGCUAGUAGGUGGGGUAACGGCUCACCUAGGCGACGAUCCCUAGCUGGUCUGAGAGGAUGACCAGCCACACUGGAACUGAGACACGGUCCAGACUCCUACGGGAGGCAGCAGUGGGGAAUAUUGCACAAUGGGCGCAAGCCUGAUGCAGCCAUGCCGCGUGUAUGAAGAAGGCCUUCGGGUCGUAAAGUACUUUCAGCGGGGAGGAAGGCGAUGUGGUAAUAACCGCGUCGAUGACGUACCCGCAGAAGAAGC
rnacentral:rRNA from 1 species